rnacentral:rRNA from 1 species
UGGGGAAUAUUGCGCAAUGGGCGAAAGCCUGACGCAGCAACGCCGCGUGGGGGAUGAAGGUUCUCGGAUUGUAAACCCCUUUCGACCGGAACGAAUCCCCUCCUGGUAAAUAAUCAGGAGGAUCGACGGUACCGGGAGAAGAAGCCACGGCUAACUCUGUGCCAGCAGCCGCGGUAAGACAGAGGUGGCGAGCGUUGUUCGGAUUUAUUGGGCGUAAAGCGAACGCAGGUGGUUUGGUAAGUCAGGGGUGAAAGCCCACAGCUUAACUGUGGCACUGCCUUUGAUACUGCCUUUCUAGAGUGCAUGAGGGGGAAGCGGAAUUCCGAGUGUAGAGGUGAAAUUCGUAGAUAUUCGGAGGAACACCGGUGGCGAAGGCGGCUUCCUGGCAUGUAACUGACACUCAUGUUCGAAAGCGUGGGUAGCAAACAGG